UCUUUUUCACAAUGGCAUGUGCAGCUCUCAAAAACAGAAACCCAAAGGUGAGAGCUAAGCUAGAGUCCUGCAAAGUAUUUCUAUAAAGCUAAUAUGACAUGGGGAAGAACCUGCCUUGACAUUGUGUAUCAGGUGUGGAAAAUCAUGGCCCUCUGAAUGUUGCUGAACAUUAAUCAAUUCAUUAAAGGAUGUUUGGGAUCUCAGUGCUUCCAGUUCCCAACUUUGCCCCAAUAUGGAAUACAACAUGGUAUCUAUACUGACAACAUGGGCCAAUGGUCUCUUCCUUGUUAUCUGUUCUUUUCUUUUCAAAAUUGUAUACUGGGAUUUGAAGCGCAGCUAUUGUGAGGCAAAUUCGAAACACGACUAUGAUUCUUUACAAAUUGGUCUGUGGCAUCUACUCUAGACUAGACUAGAGAAGGAUCUAGUCUUGAUGUACAAGUUGCCACAACUCAGUUCUUAGUAUUUCCAAUUUGAGGGAUGCAACUGAAUUUUGCUACAAUUGAAUUCCUGAGGCAGUUUUUGAGGUCUCUUCUUGGGCAAGAACAUCCAGAUAAUUUUGAAAGCAGCUAACAGCUUUGAUGAAGUGAGAACAUUUUCUUGUACUAUGUGUAUGUGUUGCUUUAACUGUUACUAAAUAUGUGCGAUUUCGAAGUUAUAGGCUGACAGAAAUUGGAAUGAUAAACAUUAUGAGUACAAUUAAUGGACCCUGGAGUGCUGACACACUCAGUAGCUGCACAAUUAUCAUAAGAGCAGGGAAAUUACUUAAUAAUGGGACCAUAGAAUAUCACUGUGCUAUCUCCUGUGCUGCUGUGCAGUUCUGGCAUGUGCCACAUUAACAAAUAUAGGCCUUCCUUCUAUAUCUUACCUGCAUAAGAUUUGACAGCCAAACAGAAAGCAACUGCCUAGUCCUGCAUUGUGACAUAAUUCAGAACUGACCAUGUAAUGAGGCAGAAUGAGGCAGCUGGAAAGGCUACAGCUGUUGGGGAGUAGAGAGUAGGGGGCUCUGCUUAUACAUUGGACUCUCGGGUUGCGAACGUGAUCCAUGCGGGAUGCACGUUUGCAACCUGCAGCAUCCGCAACCCGCAGCGGCGCGUCUGCGCACACAUGAGUUGUGAUUCUGUGCUUCUGCGCAUGCACAAAGUGCAAUUUAGUGCUUCUGAGCAUACGCGACUGCCGAAACCCAGAAGUAACCCGUUCUGGUACUUCCAGUUUUCGGCGGUCUGUAACCCGAAGAAACGCAACCUGAAGCAUCUGUAACCCAAGGUAUGACUGUAAUUUACUUAUUUGAUUUGGGCAGAUUUACACACACAAAAAGGAAGCAUUUUUAAUGUAUAUUAUUAUGUUUUUAUAUAUGUUGCAAGCCGCCCAGAGUAGCUGCGGCAACCCAGUCAGAUGGACAGGGUACAAAUAAUAAAAUGAUGAUGAUGAUGAUGAUUAAGUUUCAUAGUACCAUAGAAUUGUAGAGUUGGAAGGAACCCUGAGGAUCAUCUAGUUCAACCCCCUGCAAUGCAGGAAUAUGCAGCUGUCACAUACGGGGAUCAAACCUGCAAUCUUGCAGCUAUUGAGCUAUCCAGGCUCUCAAGCAAAAUGGUGCAAGCAAAUGAUACUUUGAGAAUCCUUUUGAGUGCCUGCAGCCUAAAGAGCUUUAUAGGCCUUUCUAGGUUUCUUAAGAUACAAAUACAAAAAACCUCAACAACAAUACAUGUUUGUUGCAAUGGUUAGCAAACAGGCAUGGCGUUUGGCAAUGGGCUCCACAGCAUGUCUAAAAUGGAAAAAUGAGGUGGCCUUGAUAGACCCCUUGAGGCAAGCUAUUUAUUUAUCAGUGUUAUAGGUCUUCUCAUCCUGCCUGCUCCCAACAAAUAGCACUUGUGGCUACUGAGUAUGCUCAGUCCUCAGGGUUUUCUUUCCUUCUCUUGGCUUUUGAAGAAGUUUAUUUGUUUCUACUUCUGUGAACCUUAGGGCUCCCCUAAAUCUGUUGAUACCUCCCUCUUGUGCAUAGAUGUUGCCAGUUUGACUGUUCGAUGAUCAGCCCUCGAGAGAAUGAAUUCCCUAUGAGUGUCUAUGCAAUGGAGCCCGGUUUUUAAAAAUUCCUCACACUAGCUACAUCUCAGGAAGAUCUUAUAAGAAAGCCAGGCCUUCUGCCUAGAUCCUGAAGCACAAAAAACAGGAGUCCAUAGAACCAGCCAAGUAUGUGAACACACUGGUAUUUAUUGUGAUAAAUGUUGUUUAUGUACACACUCCCAGGAAAUGAACUGAGACUACAGCUUGCUCAGUCGCAUUUUUAACAGUGGAGAAUCUGAACAAUCAUCAGGCUAAAAGGUAUAUGGAGAUUAAUAGGGUUCAUUUUUCUUAAGAAAGAUUGUAUUUAUUAAACCAUUAUAGGAAUUUAGGUGGAGAUAACCUGUGUGAGAAUUCAGAUUAAUGAUUUGGCAAUGAAUAAUCAACUGCGGAUGUACCAAACUCCAGAGAAAAUAAAAUCGUUGAAGGCUGGUGUGAUGGCUAUUUGGUCUUAGAAUGAGCACACAGGUUAGUCAAGAGCACCUUUGCAUGCUAUUCUUAUAAAGCAGCAUAAUCAAGGGACAAUGAGGCUGAUAGGAGCCAACUCCUCCAAUAAAAUAUUUGAAGGGGCUGCCCCCAGUUGAUGGGCAUUGCUAUUCAAAUGGUGUUUGUGCAGCACAUCAUGUGAUCAGUUAUGUGGGUUGGGGAUUACUUGCCCCCCCCCAAUAUUUUAUUCAAGUUGGCACCCUGAUGAGCCUGCACAAUUGCCCCUCCCCCUAAGGGCACAUGGCUUCCCAUACCUCUGACAUCCGUGUUAUGUUUUCUCUUCCUCCGUCUCAUGCCUCCUCUUCCAACUCCAACUUUCUUGCCAGGAAACACUCUUGACAGACACCUCCCAUUAGCCAUUAACAUCAGGGGGUGGGAGUCAAGGAAGCAGAAGAGACCUCCUGAUGCAUUAGCACAGUGUCAGUGGUGGUGAGCUUUGCCUUUGUGAUACAGAGCGCAGGCACCACUGAACAUUUUCUGUCGAGAUACUUCCAUUUUUUACUGAGAUAAUGUAUGUGUCACACUCUGAAUGCUCAGCAAAUCAGCAAAGAAAUGCUUACUGUUAUCAUUAGUAGUGCCAGCUAAAAGCCUGUCAAGUUGAAAUGAUGGGAGAGGAAUGGAGAGCUCCCCAUUCUUUCCUUUGCCUGACACCCAGCCCUCCCAUCCAUCACAGAGGCCAUUUACACUGGGAAAGCAAAGAGCUGGGGCCUGGCAUGCUUCCCCCAACCUACAGUUGGUUCCUCAAACUGAAUACGGCCUACAGACUAGGCCCAGAGGAACUAUGGAAUGGUUAUCCCCUCCAGACUCCUCAUUGUCCGCUUCCUGCUUCUUGAAACUAAUCCCUGUUUUGUGUGUGUUGUGGAUGACAGAGACACAUUGUCCCUCUCUCAUAGUCCUGGACUUUAGGAUGGAGAAGAUGCAUACUGUUUCCAUUGCAUGUGUUUCCUGGUCACCUACUGUCAGGGUUGUGAGUAACCCCCCCCCCCAUACAUACAUACACACACACACACCAUAACCAAGAAUUGAUUUCUCCAUGGGAAUGAGUGAUACCUAACAUGCACACAGCAGAAAGUAAACGGGUCCCUUGGGAACAGAGUGCGGACUAAAUCUGCUUCCUGCCCCUGGUGAACCCAGCUACUGAGAAUCAAGAGAAUCACGGUUUGGAUUUUGUUUGUUCAUCACGCUAUAGUAUAGCACAAUAUGACAUUAAGGGAUGGGGUAGGAUAUGAGGGGCCUCGUUUUUUUCAUCUAUAGGUUUAACUGAACACAACUGCUUUGGACUCGGACCACCCAUGCAGUAUGCUUUUCUUUAAGGCAGGGGUGUGAGAACUUCAGGCCCUUAGGCUAAAUAUGGUCCCCAGGUCCCUUUAUCUAGUCAUUGAGAAUCUUCCCAGACACAAACUUCCCCAGCUACAUCUCCUCUCCCGCUCUGCUGUAUACCCACUUUGAGUGUGUUUUCCACAUUGGAUUGCAUCCUUAAACCAUGAUAAUGCCUCUUGCUUGCCCAAAUGCAGGAUAGUGUGUGUGUGUGUGUGUGUGUGUGUGCGCACGCGCACUCACUCGCACACCAAGCCCUUUUUGUGUGCCUGAAAUGUAGCCUACUAUAUGAAGAUAAGAAAUCCCAUCCAUUGCCCACCCACUUUCUUCUCUAGCUGCAGCCACCAGUGGAAUUUGCACUCUGGACACCAUACCCUCCAAUAUUCUGCCAAUUAAAAUUGGGACAGGCGUCUUUCUGUGCUGUGCUUUCCUGCGAGCCAGCUGGUGCUUCCCUGUCCCAGCCCCCUGUUUCUGUUACGGACAGCAGCUCCCUCAGCAAGCAUCACAAGAGCACCUCCAGCUCUUCCUCUUCUUCCUUGUUAUCAUCCUCUUCUCCAUUGGCUUCUCCUCCUCUGGUGGGGGUGGCCUGGCCUUCGCCCCAACCACCUCCCCCUCCCUAGGCUGUAAAUUGGGUGCCUUCCUUCAUGCGAAAGACAUGUAUCUUUUGGUGCCAAGCUCUUGUGGGAGAGCUUGGUGCCGAAAAUGGGUCAUCCAGUCAGAAGCUGGAGUGGCUUCUGUAAUUCUGAAAGAUUUAUAUGAUCUGAGGUGAAACCAGAGUAUGGCUUCUGUAAUUCUGGGAUGUCCCGGUCAAAUCGUGUUGACAGGUAUGGGAUGACUGUGAAUGAGAAAAUUUGGCCGCUGGGCUGAAAAAAAAUCCUCAUCUGUGUAAGAAACCCAUCCACACAAGUUCUUGCCUUCAAUGUCUUUUCAUUUAUAUAGAUAUAGAUAUUGAUUUGUAUCUGGAAGUUCUACUGAGUGGGUGUUUAAUCUUACCUAUAUACAAGCAGGUGAUUCUCAUUCAGAAAAAUCUCCAUCGCUGCCAG